UUCCAGUGAUGAAAGUGCAUGAAGUACUAAGGAUAUGAUUAAUCCAGUUCUGUGCAGUUAAAAUCCAUGGAGAGUU
rnacentral:snoRNA from 1 species